CGGGACACGUGGUAUCCUGUCUGAAUAUGGGGGGACCAUCCUCCAAGGCUAAAUACUCCUGACUGACCGAUAGUGAACCAGUACCGUGAGGGAAAGGCGAAAAGAACCCCGGCGAGGGGAGUGAAAAAGAACCUGAAACCGUGUACGUACAAGCAGUGGGAGCACGCUUAGGCGUGUGACUGCGUACCUUUUGUAUAAUGGGUCAGCGACUUAUAUUCUGUAGCAAGGUUAACCGAAUAGGGGAGCCGAAGGGAAACCGAGUCUUAACUGGGCGUUAAGUUGCAGGGUAUAGACCCGAAACCCGGUGAUCUAGCCAUGGGCAGGUUGAAGGUUGGGUAACACUAACUGGAGGACCGAACCGACUAAUGUUGAAAAAUUAGCGGAUGACUUGUGGCUGGGGGUGAAAGGCCAAUCAAACCGGGAGAUAGCUGGUUCUCCCCGAAAGCUAUUUAGGUAGCGCCUCGUGAAUUCAUCUCCGGGGGUAGAGCACUGUUUCGGCAAGGGGGUCAUCCCGACUUACCAACCCGAUGCAAACUGCGAAUACCGGAGAAUGUUAUCACGGGAGACACACGGCGGGUGCUAACGUCCGUCGUGAAGAGGGAAACAACCCAGACCGCCAGCUAAGGUCCCAAAGUCAUGGUUAAGUGGGAAACGAUGUGGGAAGGCCCAGACAGCCAGGAUGUUGGCUUAGAAGCAGCCAUCAUUUAAAGAAAGCGUAAUAGCUCACUGGUCGAGUCGGCCUGCGCGGAAGAUGUAACGGGGCUAAACCAUGCACCGAAGCUGCGGCAGCGACGCUGAUGCGUUGUUGGGUAGGGGAGCGUUCUGUAAGCCUGUGAAGGUGUGCUGUGAGGCAUGCUGGAGGUAUCAGAAGUGCGAAUGCUGACAUAAGUAACGAUAAAGCGGGUGAAAAGCCCGCUCGCCGGAAGACCAAGGGUUCCUGUCCAACGUUAAUCGGGGCAGGGUGAGUCGACCCCUAAGGCGAGGCCGAAAGGCGUAGUCGAUGGGAAACAGGUUAAUAUUCCUGUACUUGGUGUUACUGCGAAGGGGGGACGGAGAAGGCUAUGUUGGCCGGGCGACGGUUGUCCCGGUUUAAGCGUGUAGGCUGGUUUUCCAGGCAAAUCCGGAAAAUCAAGGCUGAGGCGUGAUGACGAGGCACUACGGUGCUGAAGCAACAAAUGCCCUGCUUCCAGGAAAAGCCUCUAAGCAUCAGGUAACAUCAAAUCGUACCCCAAACCGACACAGGUGGUCAGGUAGAGAAUACCAAGGCGCUUGAGAGAACUCGGGUGAAGGAACUAGGCAAAAUGGUGCCGUAACUUCGGGAGAAGGCACGCUGAUAUGUAGGUGAAGCGACUUGCUCGUGGAGCUGAAAUCAGUCGAAGAUACCAGCUGGCUGCAACUGUUUAUUAAAAACACAGCACUGUGCAAACACGAAAGUGGACGUAUACGGUGUGACGCCUGCCCGGUGCCGGAAGGUUAAUUGAUGGGGUCAGCGCAAGCGAAGCUCUUGAUCGAAGCCCCGGUAAACGGCGGCCGUAACUAUAACGGUCCUAAGGUAGCGAAAUUCCUUGUCGGGUAAGUUCCGACCUGCACGAAUGGCGUAAUGAUGGCCAGGCUGUCUCCACCCGAGACUCAGUGAAAUUGAACUCGCUGUGAAGAUGCAGUGUACCCGCGGCAAGACGGAAAGACCCCGUGAACCUUUACUAUAGCUUGACACUGAACAUUGAGCCUUGAUGUGUAGGAUAGGUGGGAGGCUUUGAAGUGUGGACGCCAGUCUGCAUGGAGCCGGCCUUGAAAUACCACCCUUUAAUGUUUGAUGUUCUAACGUUGACCCGUGAUCCGGGUUGCGGACAGUGUCUGGUGGGUAGUUUGACUGGGGCGGUCUCCUCCUAAAGAGUAACGGAGGAGCACGAAGGUUGGCUAAUCCUGGUCGGACAUCAGGAGGUUAGUGCAAUGGCAUAAGCCAGCUUGACUGCGAGCGUGACGGCGCGAGCAGGUGCGAAAGCAGGUCAUAGUGAUCC
rnacentral:rRNA from 1 species